GCCUCUCUCUCUGGCUCAGUGGCAAAGCAUCUGUGUUGCAGGCAUAAGAUCCUAGGUUCAAUUCUCUAGCUUCUCCA
rnacentral:tRNA from 1 species